rnacentral:rRNA from 1 species
UACGUAGGCAGCGAGCGUUGUUCGGAGUUACUGGGCGUAAAGAGUACGUAGGCGGUUUGCUAAGUCCGUGGUGUGAAAUCUCCUGGCUUAACUGGGAGGGUGCGCUAGAUACUGGCAGGCGUUGAGUAUGGGAGAGGUAAGCGGAAUUCCUGGUGUAGCGGUGAAAUGCGUGAAGAUACUCAGGAGGAACGAGCCGGUGGCGGAGCGGGCUCUGGGCCGAGUGACAGACCGGUGGAG